GCCACUUGGACUAUUUUUGCCUUCAGUCUCCUUCCCUAUUUGAAUUCUUCUGAUGUACCACUGGUAUUUCUAACCCAAAACUUCCAAUGAAUACCUUCUUUAGUCAGAUAUACUUAGUGGUUUUCCAUCGUCAAACUGUAAAAUACAAAUUCUUUAGACUUUCAAUAAAGACUCUUGCGAUCUGUCCUUAAAAUCUAUUUGAAACAUCAACGUCUACUGUUUCUUUUUACAAAUUCCUCAAGCUGAUCAAGAUCUUAUGAUCUGAGCGUUGAAAAUUUGAUUCUAUGUGCAUAUGGAGAGUUAGAAUAAAUAUAUAUCCUACGUCUAUUUACCAUAGUAAGACAUUCCCUAAUAUAUAUUCAUUGAGAUUUGAUGUUGAGGAAAUUCAAACUGCCUCAACUUAUACUAAUAUAAGUGAUAAAUGGCAAUAAAUUUGGUUGUAUUAUAUUUUCUCUUAAUAAACCUGAACUUAUUUGCUAAUGUACUGUCUGAAAACUUGUUCUAUGCUUUUCUAUGACCUUUGUGAUCAAACUGGAAUCCCCCUUAGGUAAUUAUGGCAACAUUAAAAAUGUAUGAUUAUUUUUAGGUUCUCAAUUUAAUAAGAUGCUUGUCUUAAUUGCUAAAAGUAAUUGUUUUGAAGGUAGCUAAAAACCCUCAUUAACCUCGUUAAUAGGCUAUAAAAUCAUAAUCAUGGUGAUAAAGAAGUAGCCUUAUAUAGAGCAUGCAAAUUCUUACUGUAACUUAUAGCACUGAAUUCCAUGUUUCCCUUGUAAUAAAACACUAAGAUAAAUAGGACAGUUGAGAAAAACAAGUUUAUGUUAUUUGUUUGAAAUUAUAUAAGUAAUGUUAAAGUGAAGAUCUGAUUCUCUUGAAUCAGCUUAAGACCUAGGUGUUUAAGCAAUCUCAGCCCCAGACACACAAUGCUUGAAAACAUUCCAUAGCAGGAACAUAUGGACUGUAGCAUCAGAUAAUUGAGUUGGAAGCCCACACAUGGUAUUUACUAGCUGUAUGUCUUGGGACAAAUUAGUCAAUGUCUCCAAGCCUCAGCUUUUUAAUCUCUAAAUGAGAAAUAUAAUAACUCUGUAACAUUGAUUUUUGGGGGGAGGAUGAAUGGAAAAACAAAAAUUAAGUAUCUACUACCAUGUCUAACUCAUAGUACGUACUCAACAAAUAACCUAUUAUUAGGUAAGGAUGGUAAUAAUAGUCAACAAUAAAAAUAUUUUUGUUCACCCUCUUUUCUUACUUGGAGACAAUUUUUUAAAAAUCAAGUGACAAAGCAAGGAGAAUACUUUAUACCUAAUUUGAGGUUUUUAAGACCACCUCUUUUUAAUGCUUUAAUCCUUCAGAUUUCUGGAGUGGAAAGGAGAGAGUUUGGUCUGAUAUUCCCAUGCACACAGGCAUCAUGAGACUAUGAGUGUCUACAGUCUUGGCUCAGAGGGGUACAUUUGAAAAAAAAAAACUUAUGUAGGCCCCCAGAACUUCUUUUCCUUCUGCAACUUUUCAUUUAUUUCCAGAUGGCCUCCCUCCCAUCAAUAUAACAACUCAUAUUUCAAAUCUUCAUCCAAGAUGGAAGAAGGAGUAAACUUUAUGUCCAACUUCCCCUCAGUGGGUUUAUAACAUCUUCUGUGAGGCAUCAGAGACCAAUGACACACAGGACAUCUGUAGACUUGGGAGAGUUUUAGAUGGACCCAGCAUAUACACAGCAACUGGAUACUAACAGAAACAGCAAGAAUACAUGUGAACGCAUUUCAGAUCCUGUGUUAAUUACAUUUCCUUUUAAUCUAUAGAACAAUCUUAUUAGGUAGGUGUACAAUGAUAUAUAAUCCAAAUGUUACAAAAGAGGAAACUGAAACACAGAGAGACAAAAGAACUUGCUCAGAGUCACAGAGCUGAAGUAGUAGUCAAAUUGAGUAUGUCUGAUUAUAAAGCUCUUUCAUUAAAAGUCUGCUAUUAUUCUGCUAAGUAGGGCACAGCUUUGGUGUUUAGCUUGGGUUCUCCAAUGUGUUUGGCUUUAUUCAAUCUUAAAAAAAUAAUAAAAAUACAUAAAUCUUGGGGUGCCUGGGUGGCUCAGUUAGUUAAAUGUUGGACUCUUGAUUUCAGCUCAGAUCAAGUCCCACAUCAGGCUCUGCACUGAUAGUGUGGAGGGAUCCUGCUUGGGAUUUUCUCUCUCCCUCUCCUUCUGCCCCUCCCCCUCCUUGCCCCUGUGCAUGUUUACUGUCUCCUCUCUCUCUCUCUCUCUC